rnacentral:lncRNA from 1 species
AGGAAGCUCUCUCCUGUGAGGUCAUCUAAGCAGGACCGUCUCUCAGAGCAAAUGCAGUGGCUGCCCUGGGACCUGCUGUGUUUCUUCGUGAUCUGGGCAAUACAUGUCUUGCUGUUAUUGUUGCUUAUUCAGGACACAUAUAUUUCUCAGUGUGAAGACUUUUUAGAAUGUGUAUUCCAUUCAUAUUGAUGGAAGUAGGAGUCACACAGAUUUGUCAGUGUUGCUUCAGAAAAGCAACGGAGUGAAGAAAGCCCUUCUGUUGUUCACCAGGUCAGACUUAGAAGUCACACCCAGAAAGGAACUCACCUUCGACUCUUCAAAAGGAUACCACAUAGCCCUAAAAUAAGGUAGGAAAGAAAAAAAGAGCACCCCCAAACAAUUUUUAUGUGAAGAUACCGCUACAAUACUUCCAGACCAGACUGUUUUUAGUGCUGCCAUCCCAGAUUCUUCACAGUG